UCCUCCGUAGCUCAAUUGGCAGAGCAUUCGGCUGUUAACCGAAGGGUUGCUGGUUCGAGUCCAGCCGGGGGAGCAA
rnacentral:tRNA from 1 species